AUACGUAGGUGGCGAGCGUUGUUCGGAUUUAUUGGGCGUAAAGGGUCCGUAGGUGGUUUGUUAAGUCUGACGUGAAAUCCCAUGGCUCAACCAUGGAACUGCGUUGGAAACUGAUGAACUGGAGUGUUGUAGAGGUAAGCGGAAUACCAGGUGUAGCGGUGGAAUGCGUAGAUAUCUGGUAGAACACCGAAAGCGAAGGCAGCUUACUGGGCAACAACUGACACUGAGGGACGAAAGCGUGGGGAGCAAACAGGAUUAGAUACCCUGGUAGUCCACGCCGUAAACGUUGUCAACUUGAUGUGGGAGGAUUUAACCCCUUCCGUGUCAAAGCUAACGCGAUAAGUUGACCGCCUGGGGACUACGGCCGCAAGGCUAAA
rnacentral:rRNA from 1 species